CGAAGGAUGCAAGCGUUAUCCGGAUUCAUUGGGUUUAAGGGGUAGCGUAGGCGGACUUAUAAGUCAGUGGUGAAAUCUCUGGGCUUAACUCAGAAACUGCCAUUGAUACUGUAGGUCUAGAGUACAUUUGCUGUGGGCGGAAUAUGACAUGUAGUGGUGAAAUACUUAGAUAUGUCAUAGAACACCGAUUGCGAAGGCAGCUCACAAAAAUGUAACUGACGCUGAGGCUCGAAAGUGCGGGGAUCAAACAGGAUUAGAUACCCUGGUAGUCCGCACUGUAAACGAUGAUUACUCGCUGCUUGGGGGCAACCCUGAGUGGCUUAGCGAAAGCGAUAAGUAAUCCACCUGGGGAGUACGCCGGCAACGGUG
rnacentral:rRNA from 1 species